CGAGCGAACAGACGGGGAGCUUGCUCCUUUGACGUUAGCGGCGGACGGGUGAGUAACACGUAGGUAACCUACCUAUAAGACUGGGAUAACUUCGGGAAACCGGAGCUAAUACCGGAUAAUAUUUCGAACCGCAUGGUUCGAUAGUGAAAGAUGGCUUUGCUAUCACUUAUAGAUGGACCUGCGCCGUAUUAGCUAGUUGGUAAGGUAACGGCUUACCAAGGCACGAUACGUAGCCGACCUGAGAGGG
rnacentral:rRNA from 1 species